rnacentral:rRNA from 1 species
UGACAGUACUCCUACGGGAGGCAGCAGUGGGGAAUUAUUGCAACAAGUGGGACGAAAGCCUGAUGCAGCGACGCCGCGUGAGGACGACGGCCGUUCGGGUUAGUAAACCUCUUUCAGGUAGGGAACAAGGCAUCAUUUUUGUGGUGUUGAGGGUACUUGCAGAAGAAGCACCGGCUAACUACGUGCCAGCAGCCGCGGUAAUACGUAGGGUGCAAGCGUUAUCCGGAAUUAUUGGGCGUAAAGAGCUCGUAGGCGGUUUGUCGCGUCUGUCGUGAAAGUCCGGGGCUCAACUCCGGAUCUGCGGUGGGUACGGGCAGACUAGAGUGAUGUAGGGAGACUGGAAUUCCUGGUGUAGCGGUGGAAUGCGCAGAUAUCAGGAGGAACACCGAUGGCGAAGGCAGGUCUCUGGGCAUUAACUGACGCUGAGGAGCGAAAGCAUGGGGAGCGAACAGGAUUAGAUACCCUGGUAG